rnacentral:rRNA from 1 species
UAACGCGUGGGUAACCUGCCUCAUACAGGGGGAUAACAGUUAGAAAUGACUGCUGAUACCGCAUAAGCGCACAGUGCUGCAUGGCACAGUGUGAAAAACUCCGGUGGUAUGAGAUGGACCCGCGUCUGAUUAGCUAGUUGGUGGGGUAACGGCCUACCAAGGCGACGAUCAGUAGCCGGCCUGAGAGGGUGAACGGCCACAUUGGGACUGAGACACGGCCCAA